rnacentral:rRNA from 1 species
UACAGAGGUCCCAAGCGUUGUUCGGAUUCAUUGGGCGUAAAGGGUGCGUAGGUGGCGCCGUAGGUCAGGUGUGAAAUCUCGGGGCUUAACUCCGAAACUGCAUUUGAUACUGCGGUGCUUGAGGACUGGAGAGGAGACUGGAAUUUACGGUGUAGCGGUGAAAUGCGUAGAUAUCGUAAGGAAGACCAGUGGCGAAGGCGGGUCUCUGGACAGUUCCUGACACUGAGACGCGAAAGCGUGGGGAGCGAACCGG